rnacentral:rRNA from 1 species
AUACGGAGGGUGCAAGCGUUAUUCGGAAUCACUGGGCGUAAAGGACGCGUAGGCGGGUUGGCAAGUCAGAUGUGAAAUCCUACAGCUUAACCGUAGAACUGCAUUUGAAACUGCUAACCUAGAGUAUGGGAGGGGGAGAUGGAAUUAGUGGUGUAGGGGUAAAAUCCGUAGAUAUCACUAGGAAUACCGAAAGCGAAGGCGAUCUCCUGGAACAUAACUGACGCUAAGGCGUGAAAGCGUGGGGAGCAAACAGGAUUAGAAACCCGAGUAGUCC